GACGAACGCUGGCGGCGUGCCUAAUACAUGCAAGUCGAACGCUGAAACUUGGUGCUUGCACCGAGCGGAUGAGUUGCGAACGGGUGAGUAACGCGUAGGUAACCUGCCUGGUAGCGGGGGAUAACUAUUGGAAACGAUAGCUAAUACCGCAUAAGAGUAGAUGUUGCAUGACAUUUGCUUAAAAGGUGCAAUUGCACCACUACCAGAUGGACCUGCGUUGUAUUAGCUAGUUGGUGGGGUAACGGCUCACCAAGGCGACGAUACAUAGCCGACCUGAGAGGGUGAUCGGCCACACUGGGACUGAGACACGGCCCAGACUCCUACGGGAGGCAGCAGUAGGGAAUCUUCGGCAAUGGACGGAAGUCUGACCGAGCAACGCCGCGUGAGUGAAGAAGGGUUUCGGAUCGUAAAGCUCUGUUGUAAGAGAAGAACGAGUGUGAGAGUGGAAAGUUCACACUGUGACGGUAGCUUACCAGAAAGGGACGGCUAACUACGUG
rnacentral:rRNA from 1 species